rnacentral:rRNA from 1 species
GACGAACGCUGGCGGCGUGCUUAACACAUGCAAGUCGAACGGAAAGGCCCUGCUUUUGUGGGGUGCUCGAGUGGCGAACGGGUGAGUAACACGUGAGUAACCUGCCCUUGACUUUGGGAUAACUUCAGGAAACUGGGGCUAAUACCGGAUAGGAGCUCCUGCUGCAUGGUGGGGGUUGGAAAGUUUCGGCGGUUGGGGAUGGACUCGCGGCUUAUCAGCUUGUUGGUGGGGUAGUGGCUUACCAAGGCUUUGACGGGUAGCCGGCCUGAGAGGGUGACCGGCCACAUUGGGACUGAGAUACGGCCCAGACUCCUACGGGAGGCAGCAGUGGGGAAUAUUGCACAAUGGGCGGAAGCCUGAUGCAGCAACGCCGCGUGCGGGAUGACGGCCUUCGGGUUGUAAACCGCUUUCGCCUGUGACGAAGCGUGAGGGACGGUAAUGGUAAAGAAGCACCGGCUAACUACGUG